rnacentral:rRNA from 1 species
UUGAACGCUGGCGGAAUGCUUUACACAUGCAGGUCGAGCGGCAGCGCGGGGGCAACCCUGGCGGCGAGCGGCGGACGGGUGAGUAAUGCAUCGGAACGUACCUAGUCGUGGGGGAUAACUAUCCGAAAGGAUAGCUAAUACCGCAUACGUCCUGAGGGAGAAAGCAGGGGAUCGCAAGACCUUGCGCGAUUAGAGCGGCCGAUGUCGGAUUAGCUAGUUGGUGGGGUAAAGGCCUACCAAGGCAACGAUCCGUAGCUGGUCUGAGAGGAUGAUCAGCCACACUGGGACUGAGACACGGCCCAGACUCCUACGGGAGGCAGCAGUGGGGAAUUUUGGACAAUGGGCGCAAGCCUGAUCCAGCCAUUCCGCGUGAGUGAAGAAGGCCUUCGGGUUGUAAAGCUCUUUCGGCCGGGACGAAAUCGCACGGGUCAAUACCCUGUGUGGAUGACGGUACUGGAAGAAGAAGCACCGGCUAACUACGU